GACGAACGCUGGCGGCGUGCUUAACACAUGCAAGUCGAACGGAAAGGCCCUGCUUUUGUGGGGUGCUCGAGUGGCGAACGGGUGAGUAACACGUGAGUAACCUGCCCUUGACUUUGGGAUAACUUCAGGAAACUGGGGCUAAUACCGGAUAGGAGCUCCUGCUGCAUGGUGGGGGUUGGAAAGUUUCGGCGGUUGGGGAUGGACUCGCGGCUUAUCAGCUUGUUGGUGGGGUAGUGGCUUACCAAGGCUUUGACGGGUAGCCGGCCUGAGAGGGUGACCGGCCACAUUGGGACUGAGAUACGGGCCAGACUCCUACGGGAGGCAGCAGUGGGGAAUAUUGCACAAUGGGCGGAAGCAUGAUGCAGCAACGCCGCGUGCGGGAUGACGGCCUUCGGGUUGUAAACCGCUUUCGCCUGUGACGAAGCGUGAGUGACGGUAAUGGGUAAAGAAGCACCGGCUAACUACGUG
rnacentral:rRNA from 1 species